CGUCAUGGCGGCUGUGCGUGGGAGGCGCUUGCGCCUGCCGGGUGCCUUGAUUCCCGGUCUGCUAACCCGCGUACAGCUGCCACCCAA
rnacentral:antisense_RNA from 1 species